rnacentral:lncRNA from 1 species
ACCCCAAAACAAAAUUUAAAAGGAGCAUUACCUGGCUGGGUCUAAGCUCCAUAUAACUUGCUUGCAGAUGAUUUUGACUUGGUCGCUGAAGAAAUGCUACCCUUUGCUGCUCUGAGCCAUACCCCAGGCACUGGCCCAGAGCUGCCCCAAAGAUCCACAACCAUCCUGUGCUCCAAGCUGACCACCUCACUGCAGGCAGCAUCCUGAUCCCUGCGUGUCCUGCCUGCUGCGUGCAAACCUCUGUGUUCUUCCUCUUAUACCUGCCCUUCCUGCAGUGCCCGGGCCUGCCUGACUCAGGGAAAGAAGGCUGUCUGCGGCAGGGGCCCCACCUUUAAACUUCACACAUGAGUCAGCCUACACAGGCAGAGAGAGCACAUAACAGUUCCACAGGGUAUAUGUGUAUCACAGCAUGUGUGUCAGAGCACAAUGGAGCUCAGGGGACAACUUGGAGGAGCUGGUCCUCUCCUUCCAACAUGUAAAUUCCUGGAAUCGAACUUGGGUCCUCAGGUUUGCUUGCAGAUGCCUUUACCUGCUGAGCCAUUUUUUUUUCAGUCCUCCUUCAGUAGUUUGAAUGCCUCGCCCACCUUCAGCUCUUACGUUACUGAGGGUCCCUUGCAUGCGGUGGAUUGGAACCUGGGAAGUUUUCUGCCUUUGCUUUCUGCAUGUGGAUUACAACACGCUUGUGUCAACCCCUUCCAUCUAUUGUAUUUAGGGCUGGAGGGUUUGAUGCUGAUGUAUUAGUGACCAUCAUCAGGUUUGGGAAGUGAUUACUUCUUCAAAUGUUUUCCUUUCUCUUUCUGGAGUCACCAUUAUACACUGGGACACUUGAGCUCCUUCAAACUCACAUCUGCCUCCAAAAGACGGUAUGAACAAAACUGUGUGAGCACUGAACACUCUACAGUCUAUCAGAUUCUAGACCCAGUGGUGGAGUUGUGCACUUUGGUAGCCAGUUGAAGCAAGAAGUUUAGUCUGUCAUAGUUCUAGAAGCUCCAAGCCCCACAUCAAUGUGCUGGCUGCCCCAGCUGUAUCAGGAGGGUCUCUUUGCGGUUUGUAGAUGACACACAUGAUUGAAAGAAAGCAACUUCUCUG